AAGGAACCAAAAUUCCAUUUUGCUGUCUUCCCUUGCUCUCCACGUACAACCAGGAAGGAAUUCCUUCCUUCCCACCUUCCCUCAAUUAUGUCCAAGUUCACUCCUUGGACCCCAAACAAUGCUCCUUCUUCUUCACUCUACUUCACCUUAUUACCAGACACAAAUUUUCACCCAUUUCCUCAACCAAAAUCAAUUACCAAAAAUAAAAACUGAAAAUCUUACCCCCUGCCUCUCUCAUUCGACCACCACAACAAACACCACCAACAACAACCACCUCAACCACCACUACCACCAUCAUCUAACCUCGCUACAACCACCCCGCAUUGCCCGACCACCCAGAACCACCGCCACACCCACCAUACCCCACCGUACUCCCCCUUGCUCUCCUCGGUCGAACUCCCCUGCCUCCCUCUUUUCUUUCCCCUUGCUGCACCACCCACGCAACAACACCACUCUCGACCACCCUCACCAUCCUUUGAACCGAUCUCCGCCCCAAAAUCCCCCGUCGAGCCACCUUGACUCCGCCCAGAACCAAGCAGAACACGCCCCCCCUCGAACCUCCCUUGUCUCUCCCCUUUCCCCACUUCGCAGCACCACCCACGCCACGUCCCACCACUGACCACCAUCGGCGCAACCCUUCUGCGCUGCUCAUCCAACCUCCACCGCCCAGCCCAGCCACCUUAUUCCUCCCCCAUCUCUCUCCUCCCCUUCGUGCCUCCCCUGUUCGCGCACCCCUUCCUCCUCGCGCCGCCGCGAACAACCACCAGCAUCACCGUCGCCUCUAGGCGCGGUUCUCGGUGCGGCGCCGCCCAGCCGACCACCUUUCCCCCCUGCUCCUCUUCGUGCUCCCUUCCCUGUUUCGGCCCCUUCCCCUGUUUGUGUCUCCUUUUUCCAGAAUCAAGAAAUCAGUUUCAAUUGUGAAACUUUGAUUUCUAAUUUCUCAAACCCAUAUUAAAAGUUGGGCCAUAUUUCAUUUGGCAUUUUGGAAAUUGGACUCGGAGCUCAUGAAGAACGAUCCAUCAAACGAGAAGUACAGAACUACGGUUGAGGUAACGCCACAGGUGGAUCGCCUGACAGUAAAUUUGCGACACAGGAAGCCGCCUUUUCUGAUAGUUUGACGGAUUUUAACACCUUAUACGGUUUAAAACUUCAAUCAAACAUCAAACACACAUGUGUAGAACAG